rnacentral:rRNA from 2 species
UGGGGAAUCUUCCGCAAUGGACGAAAGUCUGACGGAGCAACGCCGCGUGAGUGACGAAGGCCUUCGGGUUGUAAAGCUCUGUUAUUAGGGACGAACGUUCCAUAUGUGAACAAUGUAUGGGAGUGACGGUACCUAAGGAGGAAGCCACGGCUAACUACGUGCCAGCAGCCGCGGUAAUACGUAGGUGGCAAGCGUUGUCCGGAAUUAUUGGGCGUAAAGCGCGCGCAGGUGGGAUAAUAAGUCUACUUUAAAAGUGCGGGGCUCAACCCCGUAAGGGGGUAGAAACUGUUAUUCUUGAGUGCCGGAGAGGAAAGCGGAAUUCCCAGUGUAGCGGUGAAAUGCGUAGAUAUUGGGAGGAACACCAGUGGCGAAGGCGGCUUUCUGGACGGUGUCUGACACUGAGGCGCGAAAGCCAGGGGAGCGAACGGG